UGAAGGAAGGGCUCGAGUCUGCGUCAGGGCCGCAAGUUCAAAUCAUGCUCAGAACGUGUUGAGACCAGUUCUGGCCUGUUUGGUCUUCAUACACCCAUGAUCCAGAAUACUUGCAGAAUUUUCCUUAUUUCUAGUCUUUUGUACCAUAUUUGGGAUAAUUAGCUGAAUAUCAUCAGUGCCAUGGAUAAUUCAUGCAAAGGCGCAAGCCCAAGCCAUGUGAACGGCCUAUUUGAAAACGUUUUUUUUUUUUUUUUUUAACUGAGGCUUCUGGGACAGUGGCUAUUGAAUAAAUGCCUCUUCUGCCCACCCCAGAAUCCAGUGACGUUUCAGCAGCAUGAAGAUGGGAGCCACAUGCUAUACUUAUAGGCUAGAGAUAAACUUCAUGUCCUUCUUAUUUUUAUUGUUAACAUUACUGUUUUGAUUCUAUCAUUCACUCCUAUUUGCCGAGCAUCUACUAUAGGCUUAGUAUUUUGCAGCUCUAAUGAGAAGAGGAAUUAUUUUUUUAAAAAAUGACUAUAGCACUCUCACAUUGCAGAGGGAAAGGAUGCAUAUUUAGAUAUCUAGGUGAAUUUUCCAUUUCUGCAAAGGUGGACUCCAGAGCCCAGUGUGCAAUGUGAGUAUUGAGUAUGCUAUGUAAUCAAGGAAUGAAGGAGAAUGGAGCUAGAUCUGCAACAGAAGCUGCAGAAAACAAGAUGGCAGCCCAGGUCCCAGCAGAAGCCAGAGUUGGAAACAAGAGAAGCAGACGAAUGUGACCACCCGCCACACCCACCCACAGGGAAUCCUAGGGACUGAAAUCAUUUUGUGUUUGCCUUCAACUUAAGAUAGGUCCCAGAGAAUUGGAGGAUGUGGGGACCAGGAUGCCUCAUUGCACAACUCCAAGAGGCACAUUACAGUCGGUGGGUGUACAGGAGGGCGCGGCACUCUAGUUACAUCCACAUCAUCUCAUUUAAUCUUCACAACCCUCCUGGAAGAAAGGCAUCAUGAUCCUUGUCUCACAGAUAAAGAAACUGAGACUUCGAGAAUA